GACGAACGCUGGCGGCGUGCCUAAUACAUGCAAGUCGAACGCAGUGGGGACGGGUGAGUAACAAGUGGGUAACCUCCCAUCAGAGGGGAUAACACUUGGAAAAAGGUGCUAAACCGAUACUGAUGGAUGGCCUCGCGGUUCAUUAGCUAGUUGGGGCGGUAACGGCGCACAAAGGCCACGAUGCGUAGCCGGGCUGAGAGGGUGAUCAGCCACACGGGAACUGAGACACGGCCCAGACUCCUACGGGAGGCAGCAGUAGGGAAUAUUGGACAAUGGACGAAAGUCUGACCGAGCAACGCCGCGUGAGUGAAGAAGGUUUUCGGAUCGUAAAGCUCUGUUGUUAGGGAAGCGGUAUCUAACCAGAAAGCCACGGCUAACUACGUGCCAGCAGCCGCGGUAAUUC
rnacentral:rRNA from 1 species